AAUCAAGCCGGGUAUUUGAACCGUAUUGUGCGCCCUGCAUUUGCUUAAGCACUAAAAAGGAGAAA
rfam:SAR86 cluster bacterium BACL1 MAG-120920-bin64 contig02044_1_120920-bin64, whole genome shotgun sequence.